UCUUAAAAGAUGUCUUUUCUUUAGAGAGUU
rnacentral:piRNA from 1 species